UACGUAGGGGGCAAGCGUUGUCCGGAAUCAUUGGGCGUAAAGCGCGCGUAGGCGGCCCGGUAAGUCCGCUGUAAAAGUCCAGGGCUCAACCCUGGAAAGCCGGUGGAUACUGUCGGGCUAGAGUCCGGAAGAGGCGAGUGGAAUUCCUGGUGUAGCGGUGAAAUGCGCAGAUAUCAGGAGGAACACCAAUUGCGAAGGCAGCUCGCUGGGACGUAACUGACGCUGAGACGCGAAAGCCAGGGGAGCGAACGGG
rnacentral:rRNA from 1 species